rnacentral:rRNA from 1 species
UACGUAGGCAGCGAGCGUUGUCCGGAUUCAUUGGGCGUAAAGAGCGUGUAGGCGGCCAGGUAGGUCGGUUGUGAAAACUGGAGGCUCAACCUUCAGAGGUCGACCGAAACCAUCUGGCUAGAGUCCGGGAGAGGAGAGUGGAAUUCCUGGUGUAGCGGUGAAAUGCGCAGAUAUCAGGAAGAACACCCGUGGCGAAAGCGGCUCUCUGGAACGGUACUGACGCUGAGACGCGAAAGCGUGGGGAGCGAACAGG